rnacentral:rRNA from 1 species
AUAGCGUAUAUUAAAGUUGUUGCAGUUAAAAAGCUCGUAGUUGAACCUUGGGCCUGGCUGACCGGUCUGCCUCACCGCAUGCACUGGUUUGGCCGGGCCUUUCCUUCUGGCUAGCCGCAUGCCCUUCACUGGGUGUGUUGGGGAACCAGGACUUUUACUUUGAAAAAAUUAGAGUGUUCAAAGCAGGCAUAUGCUCGAAUACAUUAGCAUGGAAUAAUAGAAUAGGACGUGUGGUUCUAUUUUGUUGGUUUCUAGGACCACCGUAAUGAUUAAUAGGGAUAGUCGGGGGCAUCAGUAUUCAAUUGUCAGAGGUGAAAUUCUUGGAUUAAUUGAAGACUAACUACUG